rnacentral:rRNA from 1 species
UUCCGGUUGAUCCUGCCGGAGGAUACCGCUAUUGGAGUUCGACUAAAUCAUGCAAGUCAGAGAGCAAUCUCGGCGAACGGCUUAGUAACACGUAGACAACCUGCCCUAAGGUAGGGGAUAACCUCGGGAAACUGAGGAUAAUACCCUAUAAGGAACAGAUGCUGGAAUGCACUGUUCUUCAAAGGCUUGCCGCCUUAGGAUGGAUCUGCGUCAGAUUAGGUUGUUGGUAGGGUAACGGCCUACCAAGCCUUUGAUCUGUAGGGGCAAUGUAAGUUGGAGCCCCAAGAAGGGUACUUAGACAAGGACCCUAGCCCUACGGGGUGCAGCAGAUGCGAAACCUAUGCAAUGCGCGAAAGCGUGACAUGGGGACUCCAAGUGAUUAUGCUUUUAGCAUAAUCUUUUCUCAAGUGUAAACAGCUUGGGGAAUAAGGACUGGGCAAUUACCCGUGCCAGCCGCCACGGUAAUACGGGAAGUCCAAGUGGUUUCCGCGAAUACUGGGCUUAAAGCGUCCGUAGCCGGUUUAGUAAGUUUUUAGUGAAAGCUCAUGGCCUAACUGUGAGAGGUGCUGAAAAUACUGCUAGACUCGGAGGCGAGAGAGGUAAGAGGUACGUCUAGGGUAACGGUUGAAUGUGUUGAUCCUUGACGGACCACCGGUAGCGAAGGCGUCUUACUAGAACGCGCUCGACGGUGAGGGACGAAGGCCAGGGGAGCAACCCGGAUUAGAUACCCGGUUAGUCCUGGCAGUAAAUUAUGCAGACUAUGUGUCGUGUAACCUCCGUGGUUAUGCGGUGCCGUAGGGAAACCGUUAAGUCUGCCGCCUGGGGAGUACGGUCGCAAGGCUGAAACUUAAAGGAAUUGGCGGGGGAGCACUACAAGGGGUGGAUGCUGCGGUUUAAUUGGAUUCAACGCCGGG